AAUCAACGCUGGCGGCGUGCCUAACACAUGCAAGUCGAACGCGAAAACCCCGCAAGGGGUUAGUAGAGUGGCAAACGGGUGAGUAACACGUGGGUGACCUGCCUCAGAGUGGGGGAUAACGACCCGAAAGGGUCGCUAAUACCGCAUAACAUCCUGCGCUUGGAAGCGUGGAGAUCAAAGCCGGGGAUUCGCAAGAACCUGGCGCUUGGAGAGGGGCCCGCGGCCGAUUAGCUAGUUGGNGAGGUAACGGCUCACCAAGGCAACGAUCGGUAUCC
rnacentral:rRNA from 1 species